rnacentral:tRNA from 1 species
GUCCAUGUACGCGGGACUGGCGAUGUCCCUCCUAAGGGGAAGGUUGCAGGUUCGAACCCCGCCUGGGACACCA